GUUGAACGCUGGCGGCAUGCCUUACACAUGCAAGUCGAACGGCAGCACGGGUGCUUGCCCCUGGUGGCGAGUGGCGAACGGGUGAGUAAUACAUCGGAACAUGUCCUGUAGUGGGGGAUAGCCCGGCGAAAGCCGGAUUAAUACCGCAUACGAUCUACGGAUGAAAGCGGGGGACCUUCGGGCCUCGCGCUAUAGGGUUGGCCGAUGGCUGAUUAGCUAGUUGGUGGGGUAAAGGCCUACCAAGGCGACGAUCAGUAGCUGGUCUGAGAGGACGACCAGCCACACUGGGACUGAGACACGGCCCAGACUCCUACGGGAGGCAGCAGUGGGGAAUUUUGGACAAUGGGCGAAAGCCUGAUCCAGCAAUGCCGCGUGUGUGAAGAAGGCCUUCGGGUUGUAAAGCACUUUUGUCCGGAAAGAAAUCCUUGGCCCUAAUACGGUCGGGGGAUGACGGUACCGGAAGAAUAAGCACCGGCUAACUACGUG
rnacentral:rRNA from 1 species